GGGAAUUCGAUUGCACAUUUCCGGUUGAUCCUGCCGGAGGCCACUGCUAUCGGGUUCCGACUAAGCCAUGCGAGUCAUGGGGUCGUAAGACACCGGCACACGGCUCAGUAACACGCGGAUAAUCUAUCCUCUGGUGGGGGAUAACCUCGGGAAACUGAGGCUAAUACCCCAUAGGUAUUCAAUGCUGGAAGGCUUGAAUACUGAAAGCGCAAGCGCCAGAGGGUGAGUCUGCGGCCUAUCAGGUAGUAGGUGGUGUAACGGACCACCUAGCCUAAGACGGGUACGGGCCCUGAGAGGGGGAGCCCGGAGAUGGGUUCUGAGACACGAACCCAGGCCCUACGGGGCGCAGCAGGCGCGAAACCUUCGCACUGCGCGAAAGCGCGACGAGGGGAACCCGAGUGCCUUUCCACUUAGGGGAGGCUUUUCACAAGCCUAAAAAGCUUGUGGAAUAAGGGCUGGGCAAGACGGGUGCCAGCCGCCGCGGUAAUACCCGCAGCUCGAGUGCUGGCCGCUUUUAUUGAGCCUAAAACGUUCGUAGUCGGCUUUGUAAAUCCCUGGGUAAAUCGGGCCGCUUAACGGUUCGAAUUCCGGGGAGACUGCAAAGCUUGGGACCGGGAGAGGCCGGAGGUACUUUUGGGGUAGGAGUGAAAUCCUGUAAUCCCAAAGGGACCACCUGUGGCGAAAGCGUCCGGCUUGAACGGAUCCGACGAUGAGGAACGAAGGCUAGGGGAGCAAACCGGAUUAGAUACCCGGGUAGUCCUAGCUGUAAACGCUGCCCGCUUGGUGUGGCCUGUUCUACGGGAGCAGGCCGUGCCGGAGCGAAGGUGUUAAGCGGGCUGCUUGGGGAGUACGGUCGCAAGACUGAAACUUAAAGGAAUUGGCGGGAAUCACUAGUGAAUU
rnacentral:rRNA from 1 species